AAACAGCUAAAUUUGGAGCCUAAUUUCGCUCCAGAAUCCCAGUACAUACGACGCAGGAGAACAGAAGCUAAACCAAUUCCAAUUAACAUCAUUUUCACCUUUUAAUUCCACAAGCUUUCACGUCAUUUUCAUAACUGACCAUGCCUCUAAUGCAUAAACUAACAAUUGAUUACCUAGUUUAACCAUUUGUAACCUUCAUGUUUACUAAGAUGUUCAAUUAGUAUUCCCGCACAAUUCCACUAUAGAUCGAACAUAGAACUAACUGAACUCUUUACACAAAACAGGUGAAAUCAAUUGGCCUGCACAUUGAUUUUCAGCUAAUGGAGAAAUUUAGCUUCACUACACUAGGACUACCAAUUUAAAAGGAAUAUCACCAUUAUAGUCUCAGAUGAAUCAAACAGUCCAAAAGAUCUAUGAAAUUCUAAUUAAUACAAUUCAAAAAUUCGUUUAAAAAUAGUUUAAUUACACAUGAAAUGCCAAACUGGGCCACAACACCAUUUCUUCAUUAGCCGACCUCAAGUGAUUUCAUACACGUCAAUUCAGUUCCAAAACCUCGAGUCUGAGAACAUACCUGGAAUUGAAAUUAAAUAGAAAGAGGGAGAGUUUAGCAACAGCAGCAGACAACUGCAAUUUGGAGGUUCAAACAGCAGUACACACAGCCAAGCAAUUUGAAUUUUUACUAUGUUUUGUUUUUUUGGAUUUUUGAGUAGGAUCUAAAAUCUAAAGAGAAUGUAUGCUUAAGUCCUAUUUUGGCAUGUCCUAAAAGGUUCUAUCAUGUUCUUAUUCCCUUUAAAUCCCUAAACUACCCUUGCCUAAUUUCUAAAAUUGCCAAUUCUAGUAAACCUACCCUUUUCCAUCUCCAAAGUGCCCUUGACGAGCCCCUGGAAUUACUAAUAAACCAAUCAGCUAUAUCCCAUCAACUAAAGUUAAUUACCCUGAUAAUAAACCAUGAAAUGAAGAACCUACAACUGAACCCAAUUGAACAACCAAACAGAAAUGCCAUAAAACAAACAUUGAAUUGAAGUCGAACUUAAACGAAAAUACAACUUAACUAAUCAGUUUGACUAAUUAAACUAACACCUAACAAUUAGCGAACCAGACGACAUAUCAGAAUUAAUCUAAACCAAACCAAUUAAAAGAACACACAGAAUUAAUCAAAAAAUUAAACGACCUAAGUCUAAAAUUUAAACUAAACUGGAAGCAAAAUUAAACAAUUGCACAGAUACUCAUACCAUGAUUGAAACAGAAAGAAAGAAGGAAAUAAGGAACUCACUGAAUCCAGACUUCUUGCGGCCAAUCGUCGAAUUUGAUUUUCGAUUAAUAUUAUCCGUCUAUUUCAUUAGAAAUAAACAGAUAACAUCAAUUAAAAAUCAAUCGACAUGAAAACAGACUCCCAAAAUGAAUUUGGACUUCAAGAACCCUAGGUGUGAAAUUUGACGGCCUUUGGUUGAAUUAGGGAGUAAUAGUUUAUGUUUCUGGGUAGAGGAGAAUGGGGGGCAGUAUGGGGUUUGAGUUGGAGAAGCAUUGGGGUGUGAUUUUGGGGCUCAUCGCAGCAACGCCGUCAUCGCCGCCGGCGGGUUUCGACAGAGAGAACAAGUGCGGCUGUGGGUUAUUAGGGUUUGGUGAGAGAGUGAUUGGGAGAGACGGAAUUGGG
rnacentral:lncRNA from 1 species